rnacentral:rRNA from 1 species
GGAAACUAUCAAUAAGCGGAGGAAGAACCAUACCAAACUGUUGCCUCGGCGGGGUCACGCCCCGGGUGCGUCGCAGCCCCGGAACCAGGCGCCCGCCGGAGGGACCAACCAAACUCUUUUCUGUAGUCCCCUCGCGGACGUUAUUUCUUACAGCUCUGAGCAAAAAUUCAAAAUGAAUCAAAACUUUCAACAACGGAUCUCUUGGUUCUGGCAUCGAUGAAGAACGCAGCGAAAUGCGAUAAGUAAUGUGAAUUGCAGAAUUCAGUGAAUCAUCGAAUCUUUGAACGCACAUUGCGCCCGCCAGUAUUCUGGCGGGCAUGCCUGUCCGAGCGUCAUUUCAACCCUCGAACCCCUCCGGGGGGUCGGCGUUGGGGAUCGGGAACCCCUAAGACGGGAUCCCGGCCCCGAAAUACAGUGGCGGUCUCGCCGCANCCUCUCCUGCGCAGUAGUUUGCACAACUCGCACCGGGAGCGCGGNGCGUCCACGUCCGUAAAACACCCAACUUNUGAAAUGUUGACCUCGGAUCAGGUAGGAAUACCCGCUGAACUUAAGCAUAUCAAUAAGCGGGAGGA